rnacentral:lncRNA from 1 species
CCACGGAGCGUGUGCUCCGGGACUCCGGGGUCGGCGCCCUCUGGUGCGCGCGGCCUACUACUCGGCCUCUUGCGCCCGCGCCACGGCCGUCGGGGCCCUGCGCCCUCAGAACGGCCCGGCUCACCGCCGCCCAGUCCUGAGCUCAGCCCCGCGCCUACCUGGCGCAGCCGCGGUCCUGGAGAGAGGGCAUCCAGGCCGCGGCCCACCAGCAUGACGUUCCUGGAGGUGAACCGUCUAGAGCUGGCGGCUACGGAGGCGCCGGGCACAGGGCUUGGACGCACGGGAAGUUCGGGCUUCCUGCGAGGAGCGUCGCUGUGGAGUAGCCAGCGCUGGCAGGUGUUCCGUGGUGGUGGCAGCGGCCG